AAUUAGUCCAAUCGCUUAAAGUAAUAAUGCACCUCUCAGUAACAAGCAAAGAAGUUGUGCUCCAACAUUUAUCAAGCAGCAUUAAUGUAUAAAAGCAGAAGAGCCUUUGCUAGGAACUGGAGUUACGAAAGAGUAAAUGAGCUGUUUUCCAUUUUGGUCUAAUCUUCAUCACUGUUCUGUGUGGUGAUCGUUACAGAAGCAGAAAAAAAAAAAAAAAACUGCUCUGAAACCUGAGCCCUGAACAAACCACACUACUUCCUCCUUUCAGAGAAACAGAGUGGGAAAAAUAGGGGGAGAGCGAGAAGAGAGAGGAUAAGGAGGAGGGCAGGAGGGAAAAAGAGGGAUGUGUGGAGAGAGAGUGAAAAGGGGAGGAAUACAGAAAAGUUUUCCGUUAUAGGCAGAUCCUCUUGAAUAAACUUGACACACAAAUAUGCUGACGAAGAGGAAAAAAGAGAAGCGCAGACAACUGUUUGCUGACCCUGUAUAUCUGACUCACUAAUGGGAGACUUUCAUCUCUUCAGAGGGACUUUUGCCUUUUUAUAUGUAACAGCUUAAAAUGGGCGAACAUGACAAUGUUUGAUUUCCGGAUUCAGAUGGAGCCCAAGGUGCUGCACCCUCAAGUCUCGGUGAUGUUCUGGUUUCUAGACAGGACACAGGUCCAUCCAUCAGUGAGUCCAUGUGAUUUAUUUAUUUAUUUUUUAAGACAUGUAAUUGUCGUUGAAGGUAAAAAGAAGAUUGCUUAGAAAAGGAACAACAAAGACAAACAUUUACACAAUUUAAAUGAUAUAUAACCAUUUGCCUGCAACCGAGCACAUUGAAAUAGAAAUGUACUAAUCAUCAACAAACUGGUGAACAGUGAGUAAAUCGAGUGCAGUAGAUCAUUUAUUUUUAGCCCAGUAUCUCAUUAACUGUAUGAUCAAGAGCUCUUUUGUCACCUCUGAUCAGUCAGUCUUAUAUCACAGAGUGAGUCCAGCAGAUUCAGCCUGUAACAGUAUAUUAUAUACACACACAUGAUCUCAGUGCUGCUGAGCUCAGCGUCCAGCGGUUAGAGGCAGCGACACACGCCAAGUGUCUUUCCAGUAAUAACCCACACAUGGCACGGACACGUAAGCUGUGAUUCACAGAUCUCUCACAAAAAAACACGAUAGCAAAAACUGAUGCUAGAGUGUUUCGAGCAGAUCAGAGACCUAAAGUGACCCCAUAAAAUGUUUUGAAUGUGAUUGCAUGAACCUCUUUGUACACAAAGAUCACCGGAGGCCCCAGAUUAUUGUUGUACAAUAGUCACAGCACACUAAAGCAUCACGCUCUUACUUGAUCGGGACAAACUGUGUAUCAUUAGAACGAUUUAAGGCUUUGAUAUUUGACUGUUGUUUACAGUCAGUUCCAGUGACCGUAAUUUCUUAAUCAGUACAAAGUCAUGGGGAAGUCGUGGCCUAAUGGUUAGAGAGUUUGACUCCUAACCCUAAGGUUGUGGUUUUGAGUCUCGGGCCGGCAAUACCACGACUGAGGUGCCUUUGAGCAUAUUUGAAUAUGUUUUAAAAUGUAAUUUAUUCCUGUGAUGCAAAGCUGAAUUUUCAGCAUCGUUACUCCAGACUUCAGUGUCACAUGCUCCUUCAGAAAUCAAUCUAAUAUGCUGAUUUGCUGCUCAAGAAAUUAUUGCUAUUAUUAUUAUUAUCAAUGUUAAAAACAAUUUGCGGCUUGAUAUUUGUGAGAUUCUUUGAUGAAUAGAAAAGAAACAGCAUUUUAAAUAACAUUUUAAUUAUCUUUUUGACUAAUUUAAUGCAUGCUUGUUGAAUAAAAGUAUUAAUAAUAUAAAAUAAU
ensembl:lncRNA